AAACCAGAAACUGUUCCACAAACUUUCUAAAACUCAGGCACUGACUAGAGGAGAGAAGCUGCUCCCCGCCUGGGCAAUAGCCGUAGAGGCUCGGUCUUGCCUUGUGCACAAACCAGAGCUCACCUGUAUGAACAAGGUAUUAGCCAAAAACAUGGAAUUUUAUCUAUAAUAUGUUUUUUCAUUAGAUAGUUUGACGUAAAUAUCGCAGGAUAUACAUGGCAGGAUAGAUUCUGAAACCAGCCACAGCAUCUGCUCUGUCUCAUCUAGCCAGAACUGAUGGUGGAAGUAGGAGGAAAUAUGGAGAAUCCUGUGCAAAUGACUUCAAGUGACUGAAGCUAUGACUUAGAUGCUCCAAGCUCAGCUGUGCCUUCAUGUCAGCUUCUAUGGUGAUCAAGACAGGUUGGAUUGCAUCUUGGAGAAGCAGGAUCCUCUUGACUCACUGUCUUUCUGCCUGUGCCAAGGUUCCAGGCGCACAACCGUCUGUGGACAACGCAAAGACGGAAAGUGACAAAUAAAGGCGAGGACAGGGGGUGUCCCCGAGAAACA
rnacentral:lncRNA from 1 species